rnacentral:rRNA from 1 species
CCUCAGAAACGUACAAAGGAAGUUGACGGGGCCCGGCACAAGCGGUGGAGUAUGUGGUUAAUUCGAUGCAACGCGAAGAACCUUACCUGGUCUUGACAUCCCGGAGACCCUUAGGAAACUAGGGGUGCUUCCAUCUGGAAGAAUCUGGAGACAGGUGCUGCAUGGCUGUCGUCAGCUCGUGUCGUGAGAUGUUGGGUUAAGUCCCGCAACGAGCGCAACCCUUGCCUUUAGUUGCCAGCAGUUCGGCUGGGCACUCUAAAGGGACUGCCGGUGUUAAACCGGAGGAAGGUGGGGAUGACGUCAAGUCCUCAUGGCCUUUAUGACCAGGGUUACACACGUACUACAAUGGCCGAUACAAAGGGCAGCGACACUGCGAGGUGAAGCCAAUCCCGUAAAAUCGGUCUCAGUCCGGAUUGGAGUCUGCAACUCGACUCCAUGAAGUUGGAAUCGCUAGUAAUCGUGGAUCAGCAUGCCACGGUGAAUACGUUCCCGGGCCUU